rnacentral:SRP_RNA from 1 species
GCCGAGUUCAGUAACGCGAGCUUGUGACCCAAGUGGGGGCUAUGAAGUGAUAGGAUAUUGAUCUUAGCCCAGAUGGUUGUGGGCUCUGGCUGGCUCAUUUCUGGCUUGCCCAUUCCAAGCCUGGAGUUGAGUCGAAGAACUUGGGCGAAAGCUUGGGUUUCGUGGCUCCUAAAGUGGAGGGUACAGCGUAAGGCUGGCUUCACAGAGCAGCGACUACCUCCCGCUUCUGGCAGUGGAAGGAUAACAGGUCGGUGUUACUCGGGUCUACAAAGCCUGAUGGAUGGACUGUUCUAACUGGACUGUCACUUUU